rnacentral:rRNA from 1 species
GUGCCAGCAGCCGCGGUAAGACGAGCCACCCAAACGUUAUUCGGAAUCACUGGGCUUAAAGCGUGCGUAGGCGGCCUGCAAAGUUGGGUGUGAAAUCCCUCGGCCUAACCGAGGAAUUGCGCCCAAAACUAGUGGGCUAGAGGGAGAUAGAGGUAAGCGGAACUGAUGGUGGAGCGGUGAAAUGUGUUGAUAUCAUCAGGAACACCGGUGGCGAAAGCGGCUUACUGGGUCUUUUCUGACGCUGAGGCACGAAAGCUAGGGUAGCGAACGGGAUUAGAAACCCCGGUAGUCC